CAUACUCUACAUAUACAGCGUGCGUCGAGUGUCCUGGUUGCACACUUGCACCAACCAACCCAAGACAGCUUAUCGGCUGCAGCGCAGAGCCUCUUCCCUCAAGUGUGCUAGAGCGCUUCCUGCCCUUCUCCUUCUCCGUUUUCUGAAGCUACGUUCACGUCAGUUCUAAUACGGCCAUGGCUCUGGACGUCGGUUCCCUGCUAUCGGCGGUGCCCGUCCCCGCCCUCGACGCCGGUGACUGCAGCACGCCGAGGCCGUGGUCCGCGGGUAACGGCGGCGGCGAGGCGGUGUCCGGGGCUGUGCCGGUGCUGUUCGGCGACGACGAGGCGUUGAAGCGGGACCUGGUGGCGUGGGCCAAGGCCGUGGCGUCCAUGGCCAGGGAAUCAGCGCAGCAGUUCCGGUGCUAAUUGAGGAUUCAUCAGGCUUUACUGUUUCGUGUAGCGAGGAAGUACACUGCUCCUUUUUUCUGAGUCCUUUCUUGAUGGAGCCGUGGUGGUUCUCAACCAGGCAACCAAACCAUGACCAUUGAUCAUUCGGCUUGUAGCCUUUGUACAUGUUCUCCGCAAGGAUGUUUCAGAGUUUUUUCACCCAUACACGGUACACCCAUGUCCUCUGGAACUGUCUUGUCCUACAAAGCCACAAUGUUUUGGUUUUCGCUAUCCCCCAAUUUGGCGGCUGGGUUUGGCUGUCUGCGGUCUGCACGAAGACUGGGAUUGUGCUAUUGAUCACUUCUCACUACUGACUAUCGGGAUUGCCCAUCGAAUCCAAUAAAUCGCGUUCCACUUACACAAGGUUCUAUUUCAACAAUCUAACUUACAGCCAUGUUGCUUAUGAAAUCCCCCAUUAGAAAUGGCCUUAUGAACGAAGGAGAUCAAAGUUUUUCAGCCAUAAAAAAGUAAUGGAGGGGUUCCACACUCUCGAUGUGCUGCAAGUCAAGCAGGCACUAUUUCCACAUAUUCUUGCCUGUCCAUGGGAAUUCUUCGGGUAUUAUCUGUCAUUUCCUCCACGCGUAGCACGGAAUGGAUUUGGUAGGGGGAAGACUUUUGUAAACUUUUUUGUUAUAUAACCUUGCAACUAUAACUAUCCAAAUGUCAACUCUCAACCUACUCUCACAAAUUCACAACGGAGCAUGGUUAACUUCAAUACCUGCAACCAUUAUUUACAGAUGAUAGCUAUUUACAUAGCUCUAAGGCAUCCUUGUACAUUUGAAUCGCCAAACAAAGAAUCCUAGCACAUUUAUAUAUGAACAUAAAUGGAGCCGACAAAUCCUUUACAACCAAACACCCCAGUAACUAUUCUUUGGAUUACCACUGCCAUCGUCAGGUGGCCUAAGUCGUGCCGUUUAACUCAUUUCUGCUAUUGAUGGCAACCGUCCGUGGGUCACCUGCGAUCAAUUUAUGCCUUGAACCGAACAACAAUGCACGAUAUAUCAUCUUUACUGUCUCUUUUUAACGCUUCAGCCGUUAAUUGCUUGGCAGCUGCAUAUGGAUCCUUGAACCUUUUGGCCACAUCAACAACUUCCUGAUUGUUCAUCACCUGGUCGAUUAAAGAAAAUUGUUAAGAAUGCAGCCAUGGAUAUGGUUUCAAUCAGCUAUAUUGGCCAUUUGGACAAAUAUAGAUAAAAAAAAGCCACACCUUCCAUAGACCGUCACUCGCAAGGACAAGUAGCUCAGCAGUGUGAUCUAUGUUUUCAACUUUUAUAUCGGGCUCUGAUCUCAAGAGUGAUUUUAGAUUCCUGUCUCCAAAAGCUCUGGAGACAGCCAACUGACCACAUACUCGGGGAACAUCUCCUGAAAUUUAUAGCGUCAGAUUCAAUAGGUUGUAAACAGAAAAUUUAAAUUACAUAGUUCUGUUUAUUUUUAGGCACGUAAUUUUUCUUAAUUGCUUAUCUAGGUACUGCAUAUUAAAAGAAUUAAAGAGUUCCCACGUGAAAGAAAAAUUAUUAAUGUUAUCUUCCUGCAACUAUGACUAUAUUGGAAAUUAACAUAUGCUAGCUUCAAAACAAAAAUCCAUGUGAAGUGAGUGGUUUCCACAGAGUUGAUCGUGACAAUGUGUAUGCACUCGUUAACAAUCUUCAAGUUAGUGCACUUAGUGAUUUCAGCAAUUAUCCGCAAAUAUUAGUGCUCUGCCACUGUUUCAGUAACCAAUAGACAGCUGUGUCACAUGUCAAUUUCCCACUAAACAGCUUACUAGUCAGUUGUAGUAUAAGUAAUCCACCCUUUUUAUUAAAAAAAAGUAACCGACGCACAGACCAAACAUGUGAUUCAAAGAAGAGAGGUAAGGCUAUCAAAGAUUCAAAGAUGAGCAUCUGCAGAAAGAACAUCACUCAAUGACACAAGGAACAAUAUAAUGAUCUUGACUUCAAGUAUAUACCAUUACCCUGAAGAGAACCUGUUCUAUCACAUCUCAAGUUCUCAACGAAGGAUCUGGUGCAAUUUAUGUGGAAAAAGAAUACAUAGGGCUAGAGAAUGGUUUGCCUUCUGAAAAGUUAACAGUGAGGAAAUAAUCUGGGAACCUUUCAGCCUUUUCACCAGUAUUCCUUUUUAGGGAAUGUGGACCAAUAUUUUUGUUUUAAGAAUACAAGUAAUGACAUUACACCUAACUAGAGUUAAGACUCAUCAAGAUUAGCUCAUAUGUGUCAGUGCUAAAAUUGUAUUCUUCGAGUUUAAAUGAUCCCUUGUAGUAACCCCACAAGAUGCCUUUUAGAACCAGAGAGUGAGCUCAUAAUUGACUACCAUAUUUCAUCUAAGCUGUUGAAAUGGCAGUGAUAGUCUUAAUCCAAAAUUGCACUGCCCAUAGCACGUUGUUGUUUCAAAAUAUCACAAUACAAGAAGUCUAUUUGAAUCAUUUUCUCUUGCAAUGCAUCAUUAAGCCAUUAGCAGCAUCCUUUUGCUACCAAAUGUAUGCUUUUUUUAAAUAUGAGUAUAUGAUGUGCCACAAGAAAUUUACAUCAAAACAUAAUUUGCAAAGUCUUAAUAAUAAGCUAACCCCAUGGUGUUGUACAAUGUACAAUCAACACGAACAUCUGACUAGUGAUAAAGAUUUAAAUAGAGUAAUCAUGUCAUUAAACUUUUCUAGUGGAAUUUUUUUUAUUUUCCAUACUUAAAAGCCUUUCACUAAUAAUCCAUCAAAAGAUCAUUUCACGAAGAUUUGUAUUUAAGAUGUCCAGAUGCUCUGGAGCAUGACCAGUGAACUAAAUAUCAAAACAGAGUAGGCAAACCAAUCAUUUAAACCAAGGUACCAUGCUUAAAGAUAAAAAAGGAUUGAAGACACACCUGGCAUGUUUGAAACAAAGCCACCCCUAUUUUCAAUUACGCUACGCUCAACAUUCGGAUCAUGGUCUAUUGACAUCUGUAUGGGUUGACCGCCUUUCAAAAGAACAGCUCUUGAAUCCCCAACAUUAGCUACCCACAACUUCCUGCCGUUUACAAGAAUGGCAGUUACAGCAGUGGAGCCACCUUGUCCCAAAUCUGGAGUAUGCGACAGAAUAGCUUGGUCUGUUUUCUCGUAAGCUUUUAUGAUCGCUCUAUCUGUAUGUGUCCAAAAUUCUUCCUAAAAUAGCACAAUAAGAAUAAGAUCACCAUAGUGCUAUCAAAUCGAUCCUCAUUGGUGAACAGUUGCUAGAAACUUACUUCGUUCAAAAUAUUUGAAAACAGAUUCUUCUGUAAGUACGCAGGAACGGUAUCUCCUAGAUGACCAUCAUAAAUGGCGAAAAGACCAAGCUCGUUUCCCUUCACUUCAGCAAAAUCAGCGACAUGGUAGUCUUCCAUUGGAUGAUUUGUCUUCCCUCUUACAAGGUUAUAGCCAUAGCAGACCUUAACUUGUCCCUGACAGCCUUUCCCUUUACCAGAUGCUGUUGACCCAUGCCCGGUGAACUGUAUACAAGCAGAACAACAAGGAAAGUGAUAUGGUUGAAGUGCUAAUGAUCACUGGUGGAGCCACGUUGAGGCCAAGGUGGGCCGUGGCCCCCCUUGCUCUAGAGAAAAUUCUAAAAGAAGCCAAGAGCACUAUUGUAUGCUUGCCCGGAGCAGCUCUAAAUUUGCAUGCAUGCAUGCAUAUCCACACUCUCACACCCUUCCUUGGUUGCUCUCCCAAUUACAUUUGUUCCUAGAUGCCUGGAGUAGCUGUAAAAAUUUGCAUGGAUACACUCUCACAAGCACUUGAUGCACACAAACAAAAUACAAACUUCAUCUGAUCUUUAAGUGUACUCUAUCUCUUCCUCACAUUAAGUUGUAGCGCUCAUAAAACUUCACCAUCUCAUGCUUGCUCGCCGUCUUGCGGUGCUAGCUCAGUACCAACAGUGCAAAAGUGGCAUGCCUAGACUGCUAGUGUGCAAGCUAGUCGUGGCACAAUCUUUUUAAGACAAAAUCAGGGGACGUCUCACCCCCUGGUCGAGUUCGUUUCUUUUUUGCCUACUGGCAAUCCAUUUGCUUUCUCAUGCUAGUUAUAGUUUUUCAACGCAGCUAAUUAGAUAGUUUUGCUUUACAUAAUAUAUAUAGCACUUGAGUUGUGUAGCUAUAUAUGAGAUUAGGGUGAAAUUGCCCCCACCCCCCUGACUUCAAUCCUAGCUCCGCCACUGCUAAUGAUAUAGAAUGCAAUCGCUUGAGCUCCUAAUUUAGUUCAUGCAUACUUUUGAGAAUGCUUCUAGGUGGAGCUUAGAGCAGGUAUGGUGAACAAUUGGUUAAACUAGCCUGAUUAGAAGCCAAGGAUAAUGAAGAUCUCUUAUGUGAACAACUCAAUGGUAGUGAUUAUCAUCAAAGCAUACUGCACACAAACUUCAACAAACCUUUCUUCGACACUAAAAUUUAAGAGCUAUUAUAGGAAACAGUAAAAACAUUUAAUAUUUUCAGGAUGAUAAACUAAAGCUUAAAUUUAAGCAGGACAAUUCACUAUCUGCUCUAACUGUCAUCCUAAUACAUACCUAAUUGGCAAAAACUACAGAAUAAUUCCAUACAUACAAGUAUAUAUGACGCAAAAGAAUGAUGAAAUACAGCAAGCCAUUAAAAGCAGACUCACCUCUGAGAACCCAGCACCAAAGCAGCAAAACCUUGCCAUACGUUCGGGAUUCCCUCUCAAAAAUAAAAGAAAAGGGGAGAAAAUUCAGAAGCCCCCCACAGCCACCGAUGCUUCCCUCGGGACACAGGUCGACUUCGCUCACGACGGUCCUCCCUAAAUCGCGCCCUUUUCAUGGAAUAUCGCACCCUGAAAUCAAGCAGCUAUUCAAAUUUCAGAUAAAAGCAGAUCCAGCAGCAGCGAAACCAGACGGAGAGUUGGACAGCAGAAGCGGAACAGAGAAUUGGACGCUUGAAUUUGAGAAAAAAAAUCGGGGGAAGAAGCGCAAGGGAACAAAUCAAACUUACCAAUCCUGGAAGGAAGAUGGGUGCGAAGGCCGGAGCUUUGAGCGGUCGAGGAAGUGAAGAAGCAGAGCUUCUCUUCGACGCUCCGUUUUUAUUAAAAAAAUGUUUUUUUUCGUCGGGUUUGCGCGUCUGGACAAGAAAGUCUAUGGGGAGGGCCUUUCAAGGGUCAACACUCAACGCGGAGCAGCCGGCUGGCCCACGCGCAACGAAGACCCGGUUGGUAAACCCUCCGCUUUCUACUCAGCCACUGAACGGUGGGUCCAAUAAAGUGGGGCCUGUGCGUCAUUGAUUGCUGUGAGAUGGAGGUGGGUGGGUGUGGCCUGCGGAAAUGGAAUUGAAGACUUCGGGGAAGCAGGUGGGGCGCCUGUUUGACUAGCUUGUCUACGGGCCGAAAACGGGCGCUUGCCCUUCCGUGGACGUGGCCCAUGGACUAGAUGGGCUUUGAUACACCAAUUACUCUUGAAGCUCUACUCUAUGGGCCACUUCCUUAUUAGGCCUGCCUAUUAGCAAGUUAUGGGCCACAGAGGCUUUUGGCACCACACCAUCAAAUGCCGAAUUUUUUUAUUUUUUUAUUUUUUAUUUUAGUAUUUUGCAAAAAUAUAUAGCCAAAAUAAAUUGCAAAUCCGUUUGAAACGGCGGAAGCAAGGUACCGUUAGUUGAACCAGUGGUAUUACCACCUCCUCUAGGCAGUACACUUAUAAAAAAUCAUAACUAAUUUAUAUGAACUCGGAUGGAGAUAAACUUUAUAUGAAAAAUUGUAGAUCUCGACGAGAUAUACAACUUUUUAGCUCGAACUUUUUUCAUUUAGUCUUAUCUUUAUACUUAAAUAAUCGACACAAGUUUUAGAUCUAAAAUUCAAAAAAAUUUAAAUUUGAAACUGGGCAAUAUACAUUUAAAAAUUCAUAACUAAUUCAUAUAAACUCGGAUAGAGAUAAAUUUUAUAUAAAAAUUAUAGCUCUUGAUGAGAUUUACAACUUUAUAGCUCAAAAUAUUUUCAUUUGGUGCCAUCUUUAUACUCAAAUAAUUGACACAAUUUUCAGAGCUAAAAUUAAAAUUUUAGAUCUGAAACUUGUGUCUAGCUCUGAAACUUGUGUCGAUUAUUUGAGCACAAAGAUGGCACCAAAUGAAAAAAGUUUGAACUAAAAAAGUUGUAGAUCUCGGCGAGAUCUACAAUUUUCAUAUAAAGUUUAUCUCCAUCCGAGUUCAUAUAAAUUAGUUAUGUAUUUUUGAAAGUGUAUAAUUUUCAUAUAAAGUUUAUCUCCAUCCAAGUUCAUAUGAAUUAGUUAUGAUUUUUUGAAAGUGUACUGCUAAGAGGAGGGAACUUACCGCCGGUUCAACUGGUGGUACCUUGCUACAGUACAUCUUCUGCCGUUUCAAAUGGCGGUAUAUGUAUAGAUUUGCAAUUUUUUUGUUUGGCGAUAUAUGUAUAGAUUUGCAAUUUUUUUAUUUGGCGAUAUAUUUUUGCAAAAUACUAAAAUAAAAAAUAUAAAAAAAAUCCCAAAUGCCAUACUGGUUCCACUUCCAACCAAGCAAGACUAACACUCGCAGCCCACUUAUCGUCAGUUCAUUAGCGCACACAAAAUUUUGCCAUGCAAAUAGUGGAAAACUAUAAUUUUGCCUCGUGUUGUUUUCUGAUUGCUCAUCCUCACCACUACUGCUACCUCUUUUGCCUUGGUCUUUCUGAUCCUGUCCUUCCUCACCUUUGCAAGAUGAGAGAGAACGGCGGUGGGACGAGGGGAGCCACAAGGAAGGCGUCAGGCGGAGGCGCGUAAGGUUGAAGAAGACAGCAGUGUGCUGCGCGCGCGUGCCAAGAGAAAACAAAGUGUGUAGGCUCAUGCAUUUCCGCCUGGAAUUUGGAUUAAGUUUGGCGUGGAACUGGAUUCGAUAGUUUGGCCAGUUCGUGCCCAUGAUCCCCAAGGAAGGUCCAGCCGUCCAGCGCAGGAAUAUGGUGCGGCACGCUACCGGUACAGUGUACAGGGGUGUUGGCACCGUGAUACGGGGCACGUCAGCUAUAGGUGUAGAUGAGGACCACGUCCCCAUCCCCGGCGCGCGCGAGUGGCGGCCGGCGUCUCUGGCGACGCCGACCGCAUCAGAGCCAACCAAGACCAGGGCCGGGAGGCGGAGGGGCGCAGCUAGGCUAGCUAAUGCUUGCACGGACGGACGACCGAGGAGCCGGCCCGGCCGCAUCACCUCUCGCCGUCAUGGAAAUAGCGCGGCGCCGGUGCCGUCGCCGUCGCCGUCGCCGCGAGCGACUUUAUGCGCCCACCCACGCAAAAGCACAAAUGGGCGCGCGCGGGGCGGCGACAGCGACGCCCCCGAAUGGGAAUGGCAUCCGCGCGCUCGCGCUCCCGGCCCGGCCCCCACCGAUCCAUUCCCCGCUCGAACGCACGGCGCGGCGCGGUCGACGAGAACGCGUCGCGCACCCUGGCGGCACGCUCCUUGGUCUAUGCCGCGGUGCGUGCGUGGUGGCCGAUCGAGCAACGAAUCGGGGGGGUUCGCGGCCGGGCCGGCCGGGGCGUGGCUGGCCUAUGCUCUCUCCGGCCGGCCCUGUUUUGGAGCAGGCGCGGGAUCGGCAGCGGUCAGUGCUCGGGGUGCUUCUUUUCCGAACAUGAGGUGACACUGACAGCGCCGUGGUCAUGUGCCAAGUUUAGAUAGGUUCUCUUAUCAUCUACAGCGAAUAUAUUCGUCACUAGGAUCUGGAUGCAACAAAAAGCAGCAAGCCAUGCGUCCCUGCCGCCCGGCUCCCUUCCGUGUGUCAAAGCUGCCCCGGAGCAUUUUUUUUUCCCUGGAUCGAUCGGCUCGUCUUUCCGGUUGUAUUGUAGGUCAAGCGCAAGUGCACAACACUCUCAAAAAAGAAAAGAAAAGGAAAUGCUUGUUGGCUAUUAAAGUAUAUAACCUGUUCAUACGACCAACCAAGUGUUUUGGGCAACGUGGUUAUAGAUAAAAAACCAGCAAAGUGAUUUGAUCUCCUGAUCGUGACGGACUUGUAGUACAAUAUUCAACUUUCUUUUUUCUAGGAAACAAACACAUUAAGCGCAUAUUUCCACCAAGUUGUAGGUCAAGCACAAGUUGCAUGCGCCCAAGAAGGAAAUGCUUGGUAGAUAUAACUUGUCCGCACGACGACCUUGUUCAACCAAGUGUUUUGGACCCUUUGAUCAUUGAUGAAACAGACAGCCAAUCGAUUUGAUGUGUUUCGACAUUUGAUCUCCUGAUUGUGACGGAGUCGUACAAGUACGCCGCAACUUACCUCAUUACAUGUACUCUCUCUGUAAUGGAAGGAGUUUUGGUUUAUCCAAAAUCAAACUUCUUUUAACUAUGAUCCUGUUUACUAAAACAAAUACACCAACAUCUACAAUAUCAAAUUAGUUUUUAUGCAAUCUCCCUCAAAUAUAAUGUGAUAAUGCAUUUAGUUGGUAUUGUAGGUGUUAAUAUAUAUAUUUUUAGAACGGAUCAAAUUUAGCAAGUUUGUCACCAGUUUUUGAUCAGAGUCAACCGUUAUGGAUAAGACUCAGACAGCUGAUGAAGGAGAGAGAAAAUGUUUGCCAGGAAGGCCACGUUGACUAGGAUUUUGAAAGCCGAUAGAAGACCCGGGGACCCGAUCCGAAGCAAAAUCGACUCCACGGUUAAGGGAAAAACGUGGAGAUGUAUCUUAGGUAGUUUUUAGAAGUUUCUGUAAUAGCUCGUGUUGUAAUCGAUUAGGACUUUAGCUUGCUCUAGGGUAUAAAUAUAAACCCACGAGCUUUGUAAUAGGAAUCAAUCAACAUCAAUACAACAAACCUUUUCGGCGUCCCGCCACCAAAACCCUUAGGAGUAGAAGUAGAGUAGUUUCGACGAGUUCCUUUCUACACGCACGGUUGCAUCGGUUUCGAUCUCUGCGAGCUUGUAAGUAUCGUCACCCGGUCAUUGUGACCUCUAUCAGAACUUUCUAAGUUAAGUCUUAUAUUCUGAUAUUGUUGUGUGGCUAGUUAUCGAGUUAUGUUAGAUUGCAAACCAACGUCCCUAGGCCUUAGUCUAUACGUUGCUUGUCUUUGACAGUGCUCAAGUUAUCGAGUUUGCUCAGAUCCAUUUAGGGGUUGUUUCUAGGUGCUUUAUCGGGGUUUCCUUAGAUUUGCAAGUAUAAGUCCCUAAGCUUUUGUAGAUACUUCUGCUUGUCCUUCGAUGAUGUCUCACAUUUAUCAAACGGCUUAGAUCUGGCUAGAUUGUCUUCAUCGGCUCCCUUGCCCUAUUAUCAGAUCGUAUCGGCUGAUAGAUCUUGCAUGCUUUUAAUGCUUUACGUAUGCCAGGUACGAUAGGUCUUUACCUCUACCUCUCGAAUCGCUAGCCGUCGGGCCUCUAAUGUCAGUGUGCUACUAUUAAGAGCCGAUGCUUCGGUCGAGUCUUAUCCGUAUCUCACGGAGUGCGAUGACGUCAUUGAGUCGUUAGGACUAACGGAUCGAAGUCGUUGUCCUCUCACCGUGUCUUGUUUAAGUUCAAUACGCGGUCAUGACAUCGAUUAGAUCUUGUUACCUUAGCCCGUUAAGCGAUAGGCAAGAGGCCUAUGUUAAUUGUGCUCUAGCCUUUUAUGUUGUCAGAUCGAGGUUGAUGCCCUCUCAUUCAUGUUGCCUUGUCUAAGUUCAAUACACUUAUCAAGUCAUUAAUUAAAAUAUGUUAAUGUAUCUGGCUAGCGUACGGUUGUCAUCGGCUGAUCCUUGUUGCCAUGUUCUAAUCUUUUAAGCUAGUAGAUUGAUGCUUUCACCCUCUCAUCGGGUUACCUUGUCUAAGUUUAAUUACCUGGUCAUGACAUCGGCUAGAUGUGUUGGCUUAUCUGAUUAAUGCGUGGUCAACGGGAAUCCUCUUUUAUGGUUGUUGUGCUUUAAUGCUUUAUCGUAGUCCGUCGGCUGACAUAGCCUAUUGCACAUGCCAUAACUGUCUUUAUUUAUUUACACCGCAUGUUUUACAUAACAUCUAUAUUGUGUGGUGUUUAUUACAAGAACACCUACCUAUAAGUUCGAGAGGUUUCGCCAUCGAUCGGCUCAAGAUUUUAACGUUUACCUUGUUAAUUACAUAGGUCAAAUUGACUGGCACGCCCUCGCACCUGUGCGAGCUGAUUUGAAGUUUGCACCGAAAUUAAGCAGAUCUCCCAGGUCCGCUGUGUUGUUCAACGCAGAAGCCUGAAGGUCAACAGACUUAGUGCAAAACUAAAAUGUCUUGCAUUUUGGAAUCAUGAUAGGAUUAGUCCAGCGUUACAGCAUGUGACCCUUAUGAUAGCACAAGAAAAAGUUUGAAGUAACAAAGCAAGCUUUAAAUAAAGUUUAACUUUGCAUUGGAUAAGAAAAAGUUUGAACCAACCAACCAACCUAAGAAAAAUGGCAAAGUUUUAGAUGCAUUACUUUGGACACAAUAGAUAGAAAGUUAGACACAUCAUUUUUUUCUAUAUGCUUCAAAUUUCUUCCUCCAAACUUUAGGGAAUACCUUUUUUUCCCUUGAGACUUUAGCCCUCGCCUUUUAUGUUACUGUAUUUGCAUUGUUUCAGGUCUCUUCAAUUAUUUUGAGACCUUAUCUUGUUUCAAUGAGAGCGAUGGGAUCGAUUCCUUCAUUUUUUCGGAGACUUCUUUUCAUCUAGAAAUCUCAUAAGCUCCACUAGACCAUACUAGCCAUUUGAUAUAUUGCGCUGUUUUAUAUUGAUCGCUGCAGUUUUCUAUGCUCAUAUCAGCAUGUUUUAUAACUGUUUUUUUGUGAGUGAGUCCUAAAACGUUUGGCUGUUUCUACCAAAAUCAAGCCAAUUUUGAGUCUAAAAUUUGAGCCUACCAAAAUUCUGCCAAACCAUUUCAUUUGUAUGAUAACUACCUUUUGUCAUGCACCACGUUCGAUCAUAUCCGACUUGUUGCAUGCUACGUUCAGGGAUAUAUUCAUCAAUCCUAGUUGGAAAACAUGACAUUUUUCCGGAUUCUGCAAGACUUGAACUAGUUCCUGAAAAAUUGCACUCUAAUAAUUUUCUAUUAAACUUCAUAAUUAAAAUUGGCUCUUGCUCGAUUAUACAGCUUAGGCUGUUUUCUCCCCUUUUUUUGGUCACACAUAUUGUUGUAAAUUGUAAUACAAAUGGAGGGAAUAUUAUAUGGAGGAAGAGGGUGAGGACCAGCAAGACAAAUGGACAAGGAGAAAAGUUAGAUCAAAUCCAGCCAACCAAUCCCGAUAUCCACAGCCUCUUUCUCCAUUGGACCAGAGCUGUCCCAACUAAAACCAGAACUCCAGAAGCACCAAAUGCAAGAGCACCAACACCGAACAAAAACAUAAUCAAAUUGCGAGCCAGAAAUACAAAGAAAAAUAUUACUCCUACGACUCGUGCGCACACUCCUCAACUGUUCUUGGGAAUCUUGGGAGGAAGAAAGUAGAGAGUUCCCUGAGCUCCUUGCCAGUUCUUGCUUCAUGGUUUCUUGAGGUCCUCUCUUGACCCAAGAACUCGGGGGGUUUCUUGGAUUGUCCUGCCAUGUCGGUCUCGUCCUCGCCCAUGUGUGGCGGCGGGGACACCGGGAUGAGGAUCGUGGUGUGGUUCCGGAGGGACCUCAGGGUGGAGGACAACCCGGCGCUUGCGGCGGCCGCGCGCGCCGGCGGGGAGGUGGUGCCGGCGUACGUGUGGUCGCCGGAGGAGGAUGGCCCUUACUAUCCGGGGCGAGUCUCCCGGUGGUGGAUCAGCCAGAGCCUGCAGCAUCUGGACGCCUCGCUCCGCCGGCUAGGGGCAGGAAAGCUCGUCACGCGGAGGUCGGACGACGCCGUCGUCGCGCUGCUCCAGCUCGUCCGCGACACCGGCGCCACGCACGUCUACUUCAAUCAUCUCUACGGUUUGUUCCUCUCUAGCUCAGUUUCUUCUAAGCAAAGUUCUUUUUAUAUUGUUAUUGGUGGACGGUCGUAUCCAGGAUUCCACUUGGUAUGUUCAUGCUUCAAGAUUGACUUUGAAUUUGGCUCGACUUAGAUGAAACAAAGCAAGUUUACUUUCUUUCUUUCUUUUUUUUCAUCUGAUUUGCUCCAUGUUGAGCGGAUCUGCCACAUCACUCUAACAAUUGAUUAUUAAGGUAGUGCUUGAUUUUUUUAAGGGACGGCAAGAGUUUUGCCGCGAAUUUUUUUAGACGAAUAUAGUAGUAUUAACGUAUCUAGUAGCAUACCAUCAGAAUCCACAUGUCAACUGCUUCACAAUUUAACAACUUUGAACCCUGGUCUCAAGUCUUGAAUCUUGACACACCUCCACAUGUCAAAUGAGACGACUCACCUCGAGUCUUAGGAGGACUAAACAUGAGCUAAUUAUAAAACCAAUUGUAUAGAUGGAGGCUAAUUUGCGAGACGAAUCUAUUAAGCCUAAUUAGUCCAUGAUUUGACAAUGUGGUGCUACAGUAAAUAUGUGUUAAUCAUGAAUUAAUUAGGUUUAAUAGAUUCGUCUCGCGAAUUAGCCUCCAUCUGUGCAAUUGGUUUUGUAAUUAGUCUAUGUUUAAUACUUCUAAUUAGUAUCUAAACAUUUAAUGUGACAGAAACUAAACUUUAGUCCGUGGAACCAAACACCCGCUAAAUUCCCAGCAUUUCACCAUCUCCUUCCUUAAUCCAAAAGUUCUUUGCAUCCCCAACUAACUAUCCGAAUGAGGUAUAGGUAUAUGCCCAAUUCCAUAUAUAGUAGUAGGAGUACUUUAGUUUUCAAUCCAUUAAUUGCUUGUUCUGGAACCAAGGGAUCUUUGCUUUAAACCUUUGAGACCACCACAUCUAGCUCAAUAACUGUGUCACCAUCUUUUCAGACCCGAUCUCACUGGUCAGGGACCACCGGCUGAAGGAGAUGCUGACGGCUGAGGGCAUCGUUGUGCAAUCUUUCAAUGCAGAUCUGCUGUAUGAGCCAUGGGAAGUUGUCGAUGAUGAAGGGCAACCAUUCACCAUGUUUGCCCCGUUCUGGAACAGGUGCCUAAGCAUGCCGUAUGAUCCCCCCGCGCCACUUCUGCCCCCAAAGAAGAUCAAUUCAGGUGCUUGGAGAACAAUCAUUCAAAAUUUCUAGCUUCUACUUGUUCAGAAUAAUUUACUAAUCCCAGAUGUUAUGGACUUCCGGUGCAUCAUGCUCUGUAUACUUUGCAACAAGAAUCCACACAAUCGACGCUCAAUUAAAAUACUGCAAUAUCUGUGCUUGUCUUCAGGGAAUAAUGUACCAUAACUGCCCCCUGUCCGCUUACUAGUAAUCAUUUAUUGCUGGUUAAGCAUAGUAUCAUAAGCAUUCUGAAGCAAGUUGACAUUGGAAUUCUUCAGUUGAUUGGCUGAAAUUUUGACAGGUGACUUAACAAUGUGCCCAUCGGAUGAUCUUAUCUUUGAGGAUGAGUCAGAGAGGGGAAGCAAUGCUCUUCUGGCCCGAGCAUGGACACCAGGAUGGCAGAAUGCAGACAAGGCCCUAACGGCCUUCCUCAACGGUCCACUGGCUGACUAUUCAGUGAACCGCAAGAAGGCUGAUAGUGCGAGCACAUCCCUACUGUCACCUCACCUUCAUUUCGGUGAGCUUAGCGUGCGCAAGGUCUUCCAUCUAGUUCGUAUGAAGCAGCUUGUGUGGAGCAACGACGGCAACCACGCUGCUGAGGAGAGCUGCACCCUGUUUCUCGGUUCCAUUGGCCUGCGGGAGUACUCCCGGUAUCUGAGCUUCAACCAUCCAAGCAGCCAUGAGAGGCCCCUCUUGGCACACCUCAGGUUUUUCCCCUGGGUGGUCAAUGAGUGCUACUUCAAGAUUUGGAGGCAGGGAAGGACUGGGUACCCGCUUGUUGAUGCUGGCAUGAGGGAACUGUGGGCGACAGGGUGGUUGCAUGACCGGAUACGUGUGGUGGUGUCAAGCUUCUUUGUCAAGGUCCUUCAACUUCCAUGGCGAUGGGGUAUGAAGUACUUUUGGGACACUUUACUGGAUGCUGAUCUUGAGAGUGAUGCACUGGGCUGGCAGUACAUCACUGGCUCUCUUCCUGAUGGCCGAGAGCUUGACCGCAUUGACAACCCUCAGGUUCGUGAAACUUUUAAAUUCUGAAUAGAUUAGGUUAUUAAGUGAUGGAAACUAGAACUGAAUACUGAUUCACUGUCAUGGCAAUCCAAAUCUUUAAUUCCAGUUUGAAGGCUACAAGUUCGACCCACAUGGGGAGUAUGUGCGACGGUGGAUUCCGGAGCUUGCAAGGCUGCCGACAGAAUGGAUACAUCACCCAUGGGAUGCACCUGUUUCCGUGCUGCAAGCUGCAGGAAUUGAGUUGGGCUCCAACUAUCCUCUCCCCAUAAUUGAGCUAGACGCAGCCAAAGCCAGGCUGCAAGAAGCCCUGUCAGAAAUGUGGCAGAUGGAGGCCGCAUCAAGGGCCACAAUGAACAAUGGAAUGGAGGAAGGCCUCGGAGACUCCUCAGAGGUUCCACCGAUUGAGUUUCCUCGAGAAUUACAUAUGGAAAUCGAUCGGCAGCCAGCCCAGGCAACGGCCAAUGUGCCGACUACUGCUCGGAGGCGUCAGGAUCAGAUGGUGCCUACCAUGACGUCUUCACUGAACAGAGCUGAAACAGCGGUUUCUGCCGACCUGGGGAACAGUGAGGAUACUAGAGCACAGGUUCCGUUUCAUGCACAUAUCGAACCUCGAGUUCAAAGGGAAGAUGCAAAUGCAAUCCAAAAUGCAGAAGGCCCUGCUCUUAGAAUCCAUGGUGUUCACCAGCCAAACUUCUUUCAGCAACCUCAGCAUCGUAGGCGAGAAGCUGUUGCGCCAUCGGUGUCCGAGGCGUCAAGUAGCUGGACCGGAAGAGAAGGCGCUGUAGUCCCAGUUUGGUCACCUCCUGCUGCAUCAGGCCAUUCAGAAACUUUUGCUGCUGAUGAAGCUGACGUUUCUAGUAGGAGUUAUUUGGAUAGGCAUCCACAGUCGCACCGGUUGAUGAACUGGAGUCAGCUACCCCAGUCAUUGUGAGUUCGGAUGCACCAUAACCCAUUGUUCUCAGUAAGUUACAUUGUUGUUGCACAUAUUGCAGUUUGCAGCUUAUCAUGAUAAUAUGCAUGAUUAGUACAAAAGGGGAUGUUUUGUGCUCCAUGCAGCAUAUACUGUACAGAAAUUGGAGACAUGAUAUACUUGUGUAAAAAAAAGCACUAACAUUUGAUGAAUUGUGAACUGCAGGACAACAGGCUGGGAACUGGGAAAUUCCGUGCAGCCAAACUUAAUUGGUUAGGGUUUUCUGAUGGAUGUGCAAACCAGGCAGCUCGUUCCUGUAUGUGAUAAUAGUUGUGUAAAUCUAAUCCACUAGAACUUGUGCGAUCGGUAUAGGGUGGUUGGCUUAAAAAGAAUCACUGUUGUUGAUCAGACAAUGAAGGUUUUCCUGUAAUUUCGAGUUUUUUUCUUGGAGGUGUGUUAUGUAUGUAACUGUGCAUUCCCUUGUGUUUCUCUGUUUGACCAUCGGCGACCUUUGGUUACUGUUGUCAGUCUCGUUCUUGCAUUGCUGUGUUGGGCUGGGGGAUCAUGGUUUUGAGUAACCUGCUUGCGUUUGGGGAUUUGGGGGAAAUGUUCUUUCACGUUAUAUGGUGAGUAGGUUAAGCACAUAAAUACAGCAUGGAUACGGUGAGAUCUCGAUCUAUUUAUUGGUUCUGGAGGUAGCACCACCGCUGCCAGGCUAAUUCUUGAGAAUUGAACAGACAACAGAGCUAACGCAGAGGCUAUAAGCAGCCAUUAUUUAGUUACUAUCACGUCAAAUGUUUAGAUACUAAUUAGGAGUAUUAAACAUAGAUUAAUUACAAAACCCAUUGUACAGAUGGAGGCUAAUUCGCGAGACAAAUCUAUUAAGCCUAAUUAGUUCAUGAUUUAACAAUGUGUUGCUACAAUAACCAUUUGCUAAUGAUGGAUUAAUUAGGCUUAAUAGAUUCGUCUCGCGAAUUAGCCUCCAUCUAUGUAAUUAGUUUUAUAAUUAACUCAUAUUUAAUCAUCCUAAUUAGUCUCCGAAGAUUCGAUGUGACACGGACUAAACUUUAACUAAGGAUCCAAACCCCCCGCAUAGAUAGCCAGUUAUUUGUGCAUUUCUACCCAAUCUGACAACGUCCAGAGAAAUAGAAUCACGAUGCUAUUUUGCGGUCCUUGGGAAGAUAUUAGCCCAGGGAGCGAUGAUUGAAGGAAAACAAGCACGUACUUCCAAGAUCCAACGAACGAACAUGUGCUGAACAAGGAAGCGUCAGGUCAGGCCGUCAGGGUCACUGUAGCCCAGCAGCAGCAGCAGAAUCAGGGAUGAUGAUUAGCUGUGUGUUAACAGUGUGGCGAUAGGCCGACGACGAACUGGCCUCACCUGAGCCUCGAGAUGCCCGUUAGGCGUUGGCGCAACGGAGAGGCCGGACGGCGCUGGCCGGGCCCCGUCGGAGCGGCAGGGAAGGGAAGGCCAGAGGUGCCGCCACGUGAUGCUCGGCCGCUGCUCCUCCCUAGCCCCCUACCGGCGGCGUUCCAGAAGGAUUGCCGCGGCAGCCAAACCAACAGUGCACGCGAAAGCUGCAGCUAGUCUCGCUCCUGCCACAGCCUAACAGGGACGUGCGUAACGCUACAGAAAGCUGCGUCAGUCGCUAUCGCGCUCACGCAGCGAGGGUGCCGGGCGGCGUUUAUCAUGCGGCGCAACGACGAAGCUUGGUGCCGCCGUGCCGGCGACUCUGCAAACCGCGCGCCGCGGCCGGGGAAACGGCCGCCAGCCCAGCCGGCGGGAUGGUCGAAGCACCGGACGAGCACAGCAGUGUUAUGUGGCACAGCGUGCUCAUCCAGCAAAACUAUCAUGUGUUCCAAAUGUAUAUUUACGGGAUUAAUGUGGUGAUCAGUCUUGCUGAACACGUGAAUUCCUUCAUUACGGCAACCAACAUGUACCCACGCUGCCACGCAUGACUGGAAAACCAACAUUCCUUCAGUACAGAACCAGUGAAUGAAAGAGGAAAAGAAAAAAAAAAGACCUUUACAUUGUAACCCCCCUGAAGAGCAGCGGUGGUGUGAAGCGGUACAAACAAGAUGUAACAUGAUUCCAGAUAUGACAUGUAAAACGAACCACACGCUUAACCGACCAAAGUUGACAAGCCCAAACAUGUA
rnacentral:lncRNA from 1 species